rnacentral:snRNA from 1 species
GGAUGUGAGUGAGCUGGCUGCCACAUCUGUCACCCCACUGAUCACCAGGGUUGAUUAGGUUAAUCUGACUAGCUAGGCCAGUGUCCCCUUUCUCUCCACUCCAAGUGUGUCCCUCUGAAGCUCAGCAAAAAAUAAAAAAGAAUGACCUUCCCCAAAUAGAGGAAGACUGGUCUGCAGUCAAGGGUAAAAAGUCACUGUCUUUCCCUGCUAGAGCCCCCUAAUGAGCUCUCAGAUGUCAAAUGGAAAAUGACAAAACCUGAUCAGGCCUCCUAG